rnacentral:rRNA from 1 species
AGAGAAUAGAUACCCAGGUAGUCCACGCUGUAAACGAUGAGAACUAGCUGUCGGGGCGCUUGGCGUCUCGGUGGCGCAGCUAACGCGUUAAGUUCUCCGCCUGGGGAGUACGGCCGCAAGGUUAAAACUCAAAGAAAUUGACGGGGGCUGCACAAGCGGUGGAGCAUGUGGUUUAAUUCGAAGCAACGCGCAGAACCUUACCAGCGUUUGACAUGGUAGGACGGUUUCCAGAGAUGGAUUCCUUCCCUUACGGGACCGUACACACACGGUGCUGCAUGGCUGUCGUCAGCUCGUGUCGUGA